CUUAUCUGAUUCAGGAUCAAUUUAUCGGUUACACUCCCCUAUCACCAGUGAUUCUUUGUGAACUGACAUUCUGAAAAAGGGCAAGAACAUUAAAGAUAAAGGGAAACUAUAAACAAAAGAAAUUAUCAACAAAAAUAGAUUUACAGACGUCAACAAAGCCUAAAUGGUCAGACAUCUUGGUUUUCAUGAUCAUCAUUCAACAGGUCAAUACUGAACAGCAAACUUAAAGUUGAUAUUUUUCUACAUAGUGUGACUUUUUUAUUAAUUUGAAAUGGAAUGUGUUUUUUUACCUACAUGAGAAAGAGGAAAUUUCAACAUAAUGACUAUAAACAAAAAGGAGUCAUAUCAUCAUGAUCAUAGAUGCUCAAGAACUUAAUCAUGUAAAUGCAACAACGUAAUUAUCAAUUGAAAGAAGGGAGGAAUGAAAAAAUAUAUUAGUAUUUUGUUGUCUAAAUGAACUUGCUUUGUCCACUCAUUUAAAUCGCUCCAUCCAAUAAAGAUGUACUGAGGAAGAUUUUGGAAGAACAGAUUGCAAAAAUGUUUUGUCUAAGAAUUGUAGGAAUAUUCUAGUGAAUGAAAUAAUUUAUUUACUUGACUCUUAUAUAGUGGACUGAAUAAUUGUUCAUAGCAAGCUGAAACAAGAAAACUAAAACUUAACAGGAAAAGUGUUUAUUUUAUAAAUUUACAAAUAUAAAUGUCAUAUUAUGAACACCACAAAGGAAUAAGAUUCAAAUCGUUUGCAUAUUCAUGUAUUGCAAUGGAACUAUAACAAAGAAAACUUUACCUCAUGAAAAGAGUAAACUAUUAACUGUGCUUUGUCAAUUUAUUCAGUCAGAAUAUGAAAUAUUUUUUUCAGUUCUAUUUUUCAUAAUAAAACAAAGAAGACAAAGAUUUCAAAUCAAUAUUUUUUUCUUUUAUUAAGACGUCAUCAUUUUAUUUCAG